ACACGAUAAAGCCAAUCCUGCCGAAAGACAGGAGCAGAAAGUCGCGGAUCCUAUUAACGGAAAGCCGGACUGCCGAA
rnacentral:ncRNA from 1 species